AGAGAGAAGAUGGCAGUGGCUUCAGCCAUCAACAGGAAAAAUUGUACCCAGUAAGCAGCAGAGAUCGUGUUUGUGGCUCCCACUUUUCUUCAGAGGACAUCGGACUGCAUCAGGUACAGCACCUCCACACCUCCACCCUCCAAGCUUCCUCGCUGCUCCUCCCCCCUCUCUCCUCUCUCCUCUACCUCUCCCACUCGCUCUCCCUUCUUUCCCUCCCUCUCCUCCUCCUUCUCCUCCUCUUCCUCUCCCCCCCUUGCUGAACCCUUCUUUCCCUCCCUCUCCUCCUCCUGUUUCUCCUCUUCCUCCAUUCUCUCCUAUCUCCUUACGCUCCUACUCCCCCUCUCACUCUCCUUUAUCUCCCAUUCCUCCCUCGCUCUUUCCUCUCUUCUCCCCCUCCUCUUCGUCCUCUCGCUCAUCUUUUUCUCCCCUCCCUCCCCCUGUCUCUCCUCUUCCUCCUUCUCCUCCUCCCCACUGACCGGCCGCUGGAGUCUCCGGAUUUCAGAGCACGAGGACAAACUCUUCGUCCUUCGGAGGCUUCCUCCACUCUCUCCCUCCAACACUUUUUCUGUGGAGUGGGCUCCUGACCAACCGGCAGGAGCCGCUCCAGUGAAUGUUAAUAACCCCUCUGCCCUACCUCCGCAGCCCCAGCAGCCGGCUGCCAAGCCUCGUGCAAAGGCAGUGGGUCCGGUUCCAAAGUGGGUCAGGAACCUUCGGGCCCUCCUAAAGUUGAGGAACGGGCAACGCCGCCCCCCAAGGUAAGAGCCCUGCUGGACCUUCUGCCAGCCAACCCCCAGGUAGUCUCAUUAACUUUCAUUUUAGUUAAAUUUAAUACUAGUUUAAUUUGAAACCUUUUAGCAAUGUGUGAUUUCCUGGAUGUGAUCGAUCAGAUUUUAUUGAAAUGAGUCUGUUGUGAUUAUGUCUGAUCAGAUCUACUCCAGAUUUAUUUGAAUUAAUUGUCUUAGAGUGGGUUUUGUGUGAUUCUUUGAGCUCGGUUCUUGUCAGUGGGACUCUGGUCAGGGUGCCUGUAGGAGGUGUGAGUGGAUCUGAGGGGGAUGGUGUGAAACAUCCAGCGGUCCCCCCCUUACAGUGAAGCUCCACUGAAAGGUGAACAGGAUGCAGACAUCAUGUCACGGAGGAGGAACAUGUGUCUGUAUCCCACCCUGGACCCUCACUGGAGUCUACAGCCACAAUGUUAGUGCGGCUGGAUGAACCCGAGCAAAGAGCACACGGGAAGACAAGACUGAAGCUAAAUUGAGAGUUUUAAUGUGUCAAAGGCAGGGAUCUGUUGAUGGAGGAAAUGGAGGGAAACUGGGAAGGGAGAGACGGAGACUGGAGACCAGCGGCUGAGCAGACAGGUGGAGUGGGGCGGUGAGGCGGCAGAGAGUGGGCAGAAGGGUUAGAUCCUUUGGCGGGUGGGUUUGCCAAUCGUUCCAGGGGGCCAGUGUACACACGGAGAUCUCCACAGCAGAGGGGGUUCCACGAGGACCAAAAAGGAGGCAGAGCAGGAGAGAUCUGGGCAGCAACAGCGUCGAACUAGGCACAGGAGAAUAUUGAUUAGAAUCAGUCUCUACAAAUACAACAGUGGCAAGAAGUCAACUAGCUGCCAGAGCAGAGUCUACGGUCUGGCAGAGAAAGAGUGAGAGGACUGGUCUUUUAUGGUGGAGGUGUAAUCAGUUCAGAUGUCUUUCGGCUGCUCAUGAUUCAGUGGGAGGGAGAUUGGUAAUUAGUUGCAGCUGGUGAGGGCGGUCCUGUGAGCAACACGGAGAGGGAGAGCGAGUGGGAGAGAGAAAGGAUCAGGUGGAGACAGAGGUCCUGAUACACAAAGAUCAGAGUUCAGGGAGUCACACUGGGAUAUAAGGGGUGGGGGGUUAAAUGUGUUAUUUAAAAUCAGGGUGAAGGUCUCGCCGCCUGAGGGAAGUCUCCAGAAAAAAAGGUAAGAAGUCAGUCAGGAUCCUGUGAAUGCUGCUGCAUGAGAAGGUGAGUUUGGGAUUUGUAUUUUUCAUCCAUGCAUCUCAUAUUUUGACAUCUCAACAAUGACAACGCCUCGACGAGAUUCUGCCGCGUUUUUCUUUUUGGUUUCUUUCAGGCGGACGACCCCGGGACCCAAGGCAGAGACGAGGACGACCCCAGGAGACGACAAAAGACGAGACAGCGAAGACCAGUGAAGACGAGCGACCGAACCCCGACAGAGAAGAAGCCAGAGACGACGACCGGCCAGUGAGGAGAAGGAACAACGACUUUACUGAGACUUUACUGGAUGCGCUGGUGCUUCAGAGAUGAUGGGAGGCAGAUCCAGGACCAGUGCAUGACUCAUGACACCAUUCAAUUAACACAAGAGCUCUCUCUCCAAGACCACCAGACUAAUAAAAGAUCAAAUCAAGAAACAAGACCAGGACCAGCCCAUGAUGUGGAAGAGGGGAUGAUUAUUAUAGUGACACAGAAGGAGGAAGUCAGAACACCCAGAGAAAAACCAUGCAGUCCCAGAGAGAUCAUGAACAGAAAGAAUGAACUGAGCAGCAGAAGACAAAGAAAGAGUUGGAGGAGCCCCAAGAUGACGGAUCAGCGACAGAAGAACCAGGACGGGAAGAUGAAGAAGAUAAAGACCAGUCCAAACAAAGAAGAUGAACUCCUCCAGAUAUCACCAAAGGUUUCUCUGAAUCUUGGAGCUCCAUGUGUCUGAUCCGCUGUUUAUGGCCUCAGUGACCUCCAAAGCCUUCAACUUCUCUCCCUCCUCUUUACCCUCAAACCAACCAGAGUUUUGCUUUUAUUUUUUUUCCCAGAGGGAAGUUUUUUUUCCUUACCCCAACUGGAGGUUUUUUUCAACUUUCUGGCAACAGGAAGUUUUUUUCCUCCAGAUGGGCUUGAUUUGAUCACACUACAAAAAGAGAGAGCCUCAAAUAAAAAACAAAACAACACAACAGAACUGCAUCUGUUUAAAAGUGUAACAUGACGGACCCUUCAUUUAAUAUUUGUUUUUGGAGAACAUAUUUUAUGGCUACAAAACAAUGUUAGUCUGAAUCAGAAAGCCUUUAUUGCCAAGUGAGUCCACACAGGGAAUUUGACUCGGUGCCUGGCAACAACAGACAGUAAAAGUCUGAAAAACGUGGUUUCAAGCCACUGGUUUCUCAAAAACGCCUGGACUCCAUCUUAAAACUGCACAGCAUUGGAACAUACUGCUGGUUGUGUGAUUACUUGGGGUUAAUACACGAGGUAGUAAAUUUGCUAAAUGCACAAAUGCUGCUUACAGUGGUAUUAACAGAUUGUACUAAUUUAAAACUACACUACAAAUUCUGUAGGGUUUCUAUUAGAGUACUUUUACAUAUUUCUCACAAUGGCCUUCACAACUUAAAACAAGUCUGAGGGAUAUUUAUUCAGGUGAAUUUUUUGUCUGAAAUAAUAAUUAAUGAACAAUAAUUAGAUAACCGUUUAUGUGGCUGACAUGUUGAUAUUUCAAUAGACUGGACUGACAGAAUUGUGUAUCCACCAGUUUGAUUCUGUGUCUAAUUUAAAGUCAGAUUCAUGCUUUAAUUGAUGGAAAACUAAAUUUAAAUUGAAGUAACUGACUGAAAUUAGCCUAAUAAUAGUACCCUCUGGUACUGUUUUUAACUGGUUCACGUCCUACCUCACUGACCGAAGUUUCUUUGUAAGUAUGGAUACAUGUUCCUCAGGAACCCAUAAGAUAAAGUGUGGGGUUCCCCAAGCGUCAAUUUUAGGUCCAGCUCUUUUUAAUCUUUACAUGCUGCCCCUUGGGGACGUUAUCAGGAGGCACGGCGUCAGCUUCCACAGUUAUGCUGAUGAUACCCAACUGUACAUCGCCGUGUCUCCUGAUGACACAGGGCCAAUUGAUGCCCUUUUUCACUGUAUUUUAGACAUCAACUCAUGGAUGGCAGCAAACUUCCUGCAGCUCAACCGAGAUAAAACAGAGGUUUUAGUUAUUGGUCCUGAAGGCCAGAGAGAGAAAAUUUUACCAAAGUUACAGGAUUUUAAACCCUCAAGAUCAGUAAAAAAUCUGGGCGUGAUUUUUGACUCUGAGCUCACUUUUAUUCCACACAUCAAAAACAUAACAAAGAUAGGUUUUUACCAACUCAAGAAUAUAGCUAGAGUCCGCCCGUUCCUCUCUCAGGCCAGUACGGAGGUGCUGAUGCAUGCUUUUAUUUCCUGUCGUUUAGAUUACUGUAAUGCCCUGCUCUCUGGUCUUCCUUAAAAGAGAAUGCAUAACUUACAAUUAUUACAAAAUUCAGCCGCACGAGUGCUGUUGAGGACCAGAGGGCGGGAGCAUAUUACACCUAUUUUAAAAUCGCUGCAUUGGCUCCCCGUGCACUUCAGGAUCGAUUUUAAGGUUCUUUUAUUAGUUGAUAAGUGUCUUAAAGGUCUUGGGCCUUCUUAUUUGUCUGCACUACUUUUAUUUUAUCAACCCUCGUGGACCCUGAGGUCCUCUGGUGCUGGCUUUUUAACGAUACCACAAGUUAGAACUAGAACACACGGGGAGGCGGCAUUCAGUUAUUAUGGCCCUCGAUUGUGGAACACCCUCCCAGAGAACCUCAGGGCCGCAGGGAAUGUUGAUGUUUUUAAAAAGAGGCUCAAGACCCAUCUUUUUAAUCAGGCUUUUAACUGACUCAUUUUAACUCUAUAAUUUCUUAAGCUGACCUCUAUUCUUAUAGUUUUUAUUACUCUUUUAUAUAUAAAUUUUUACUUUAUACAUUCUAUUCUUUUAUCCUCAGUUUUAGCUUCCUUACCUUUUAUUUUGUUUUACUGUUUUAGUCCCUCGAUUUUCCAGUGUUUCCUCCUGGGGGCCUUCCACACCUGGAGUUGAUUCUGGUCCACUGAUGGGGGUGCUGGCCCGUGGAUGGCCCUGGCCCGGGUGGCUGGAGAGCUUUACACCUUCGUGUGAAGUCUCUUGUCUGCCUGUGCUGGGGUGGUCCUUGUGUUCGCGCCCCUGUAGUCAUGGUCCAUGACUCCUCUCGGUGUGCGUGGCCCCCAAAGAUAGCUUCUUCCUCACCUCGGAUUUCGGUGCCCAGCCAUAUCGCCUUUAUAUCUCCUUACCAACAGAUGGUCUAUGUGGGUGUGUGUAUGUUGGUAUGUUUGUGUGUGUGGGUAUGUAUGUCUGUUCGUAUGUCUACGUAUGUGUGUGAAUGUAUAUGUGAUUGUGUAUCUGUGUGUAUAUUUGUGGGGGUGGGAGGUUUCGGGUUUUUCAUAGUGUUUUAUAUUGUGUUGUUCUUGUUUUUAUCCUCUGUGAGGCACUUUGUGUUACUGUACUGUAUGAAAAAUGCCAUAUAAAUAAAGUUGAUUUGAUUAAUAA